rnacentral:rRNA from 1 species
UACGUAGGGGGCUAGCGUUAUCCGGAUUUACUGGGCGUAAAGGGUGCGUAGGUGGUUUCUUAAGUCAGGAGUGAAAGGCUACGGCUCAACCGUAGUAAGCUCUUGAAACUGGGAAACUUGAGUGCAGGAGAGGAAAGUGGAAUUCCUAGUGUAGCGGUGAAAUGCGUAGAUAUUAGGAGGAACACCAGUAGCGAAGGCGGCUUUCUGGACCGGUACUGACGCUGAGGCGCGAAAGCUAGGGGAGCAAACGGG